GUGGGGAAUCUUCCGCAAUGGACGAAAGUCUGACGGAGCAACGCCGCGUGAGUGAUGACGGCCUUCGGGUUGUAAAGCUCUGUGAUCGGGGACGAAUGGCUGGUAUGCUAAUACCAUAUCAGAGUGACGGUACCCGAAUAGCAAGCCACGGCUAACUACGUGCCAGCAGCCGCGGUAAUACGUAGGUGGCAAGCGUUGUCCGGUAUUAUUGGGCGUAAAGCGCGCGCAGGCGGCUUCUUAAGUCCAUCUUAAAAGUGCGGGGCUUAACCCCGUGAUGGGAUGGAAACUGGGAGGCUGGAGUAUCGGAGAGGAAAGUGGAAUUCCUAGUGUAGCGGUGAAAUGCGUAGAGAUUAGGAAGAACACCGGUGGCGAAGGCGACUUUCUGGACGACAACUGACGCUGAGGCGCGAAAGCGUGGGGAGCAAACAGGAUUAGAAACCCGAGUAGUCC
rnacentral:rRNA from 1 species